rnacentral:rRNA from 1 species
AGAGUUUGAUCAUGGCUCAGGACGAACGCUGGCGGCGUGCUUAACACAUGCAAGUCGAACGGUAAGGCCCUUCGGGGUACACGAGUGGCGAACGGGUGAGUAACACGUGGGUAAUCUGCCCUGCACAUCGGGAUAAGCCUGGGAAACUGGGUCUAAUACCGAAUAGGACCACAGGACACAUGUCCUGUGGUGGAAAGCUUUUGCGGUGUGGGAUGGGCCCGCGGCCUAUCAGCUUGUUGGUGGGGUGAUGGCCUACCAAGGCGACGACGGGUAGCCGGCCUGAGAGGGUGUCCGGCCACACUGGGACUGAGAUACGGCCCAGACUCCUACGGGAGGCAGCAGUGGGGAAUAUUGCACAAUGGGCGAAAGCCUGAUGCAGCGACGCCGCGUGGGGGAUGACGGCCUUCGGGUUGUAAACCUCUUUCACCAUCGACGAAGGUCCGGGUUUUCUCGGGCUGACGGUAGGUGGAGAAGAAGCACCGGCCAACUACGUGCCAGCAGCCGCGGUAAUACGUAGGGUGCGAGCGUUGUCCGGAAUUACUGGGCGUAAAGAGCUCGUAGGUGGUUUGUCGCGUUGUUCGUGAAAUCUCACGGCUUAACUGUGAGCGUGCGGGCGAUACGGGCAGACUUGAGUACUGCAGGGGAGACUGGAAUUCCUGGUGUAGCGGUGGAAUGCGCAGAUAUCAGGAGGAACACCGGUGGCGAAGGCGGGUCUCUGGGCAGUAACUGACGCUGAGGAGCGAAAGCGUGGGGAGCGAACAGGAUUAGAUACCCUGGUAGUCC